UACGUAGGGUGCGAGCGUUGUCCGGAAUUAUUGGGCGUAAAGGGCUCGUAGGCGGUUUGUCGCGUCAGGAGUGAAAACUCGGGGCUUAACCCCGAGCCUGCUUCUGAUACGGGCAGACUAGAGGUAUGCAGGGGAGAACGGAAUUCCUGGUGUAGCGGUGAAAUGCGCAGAUAUCAGGAGGAACACCGGUGGCGAAGGCGGUUCUCCGGGCAUUACCUGACGCUGAGGAGCGAAAGUGUGGGGAGCGAACAGG
rnacentral:rRNA from 1 species